rnacentral:lncRNA from 1 species
UAAUGUUCUGCAAUGUUCUGUGAUGUUAUGUGAUGGCAUGUAAUUCAGAUUUUUAGAUGCCUGCGUGCAUCUUAAAUUGAUGUAUUAGAGACCUGCGUGUCUCAUGAAAAAGGGUUGUAAUUAUUCUUUUAUUUUUAAAGUUUAUCUGGGAUGUAAUCUGUGAUGUGUUUGUAUGUCAAUGGUUGAUCGGUGCAUGCCUCUACAAGCACGAUUUGCGCGGAUCGAGAUCAAGGGUUGAUUGGAGAUGGAUCAAGAGUUGAUCACAAUUGGACCAAGGAUGCUCAAGAUCGAGUCAAGAGUUGAAGACGAUCUAACCAAUUGACGUGUAUGUUCUUGUACUAUGACCCCAUCCUGGAU